GCUCAGAUUGAACGCUGGCGGCAGGCCUAACACAUGCAAGUCGAGCGGUAGAGAGAAGCUUGCUUCUCUUGAGAGCGGCGGACGGGUGAGUAAUGCCUAGGAAUCUGCCUGGUAGUGGGGGAUAACGUUCGGAAACGGACGCUAAUACCGCAUACGUCCUACGGGAGAAAGCAGGGGACCUUCGGGCCUUGCGCUAUCAGAUGAGCCUAGGUCGGAUUAGCUAGUUGGUGGGGUAAUGGCUCACCAAGGCGACGAUCCGUAACUGGUCUGAGAGGAUGAUCAGUCACACUGGAACUGAGACACGGUCCAGACUCCUACGGGAGGCAGCAGUGGGGAAUAUUGGACAAUGGGCGAAAGCCUGAUCCAGCCAUGCCGCGUGUGUGAAGAAGGUCUUCGGAUUGUAAAGCACUUUAAGUUGGGAGGAAGGGCAGUUACCUAAUACGUGAUUGUUUUGACGUUACCGACAGAAUAAGCACCGGCUAACUCUGUGCCAGCAGCCGCGGUAAUACAGAGGGUGCAAGCGUUAAUCGGAAUUACUGGGCGUAAAGCGCGCGUAGGUGGUUUGUUAAGUUGGAUGUGAAAUCCCCGGGCUCAACCUGGGAACUGCAUUCAAAACUGACUGACUAGAGUAUGGUAGAGGGUGGUGGAAUUUCCUGUGUAGCGGUGAAAUGCGUAGAUAUAGGAAGGAACACCAGUGGCGAAGGCGACCACC
rnacentral:rRNA from 1 species